rnacentral:rRNA from 1 species
AUGGCGGACGAACCCAACCGAGCGGCUUUCGUAGAGCUGCAGAGCCGGAUGAUCGAGACCACCGGGAAGAUCAAACAGCUACAAACUCAGAUGCGUUCUAAAGAGAGUGAAAAGAAGCGUGCGUAUCUUACACUGGAGGAACUUAGCCAAUUACCUGAUGAUACGAACACUUACAAGGCCAUUGGUAAAGUGUUUAUUUUGGAGCCGAGAUCACUUAUGGUAAAUGAGCAAGAGAAAAAGCUAAAUGAUAGUGAGACUGCAAUAUCGUCGAUGCAGACUUCCAAGGAAUAUCUUGAGAAACAGUUGGGAGAAGUGGAGAACAACAUUAGAGAGCUACUUCAGCAGGACCCUGGGCUUGCACGCCAGAUUCUCUCAAUGACUGUUCAGUGA